ACUCUCAUUCUCUUUUCUUCUUCAUUUUUCUUUCUUCUUCUCUUACAUUCUUCUUCUGUUUCUCUUCUUCUGCGAGUUUGAGAUAUUGAAUGGGAGCUUUGUCGUCGGUAAGAGAUGUAGAAGAUCAUGGAGUACUGUCAGUGAUGGUGUUCGUAUCUGUUGUUGAUUUAGACUCGAUGAAGAAGUGAAUUGGAAGUUAGGGUUUCCGAGUUUUGAUAAUUGAUUGAAGAUUUAUGAGAAACUGAGGAUGGAAUCGAGUAAUUAAGAGGGGUUUCUGGUUAAUUGAUGUGGUGUAGCUGUUUUGAUGAAGAAUCGAUGAACUAGGGUUUACAAGAGAUUCAGAAUAAGAGUUUGAAGAUGAAACUGGAAGUUUAUAGGGAAGAUUAGAAGAUUUGUUUGCUUGAGUUGAAGGUUUGCAUUGAUGUUGUGAAUUCGAAUUAGGGUAAAGAGGAUUGAGAAUCGUUUUAGGGUUUUACUGAAAAAAGUGAUGCUGGUGAUGGAGAUGAUUGGGUUUUGGUUAAACUGAAUUGGUAGAUGGUUACUUUCUUAAGAUGAAUUGUUGAAUCAAGUCAAGCAAGAAGAAGAGUUCGAUUUCAAUUGUCUUAUCUGAGAUGAACUACUUUGAGGUAAUUACUGAUUUAAGUUAACUUGGUGUUCAUUUUGAUUAUUGAGUGUGUGAUGCUAAUGGAGCUAAGAUUGGAAUGGAUAUGUGAAUCUGUGAUGGAAUUGUGGGUUUAGUUUAGGUAUGUCUAAUGAAUUACAGGCGAGGAUUAUUUGUUUGAGAUGUAGAAGUUGAUGUUCUGUGUUGGGUUAGUUGUGUGGGUAUGGUGUUACAGAUUUGAAGAUUUGUAGUACCGAAAAUGGUUUAAGUUAUUAUUAGUCUGAGCUGCAGGUGUUAGUGCUAAUUUGCUGGAUGGAGUUGAAAUCUCGGGGCUAAGAAGUACUGAGAGUAUGUGUUUGGAUGGUGGUGUUAGUUGUGAUUCUGGUGGAGCAACAGAGUCAAUUUGUGCUCGUGGAGCUAAUGAUAAUGAGGAUGCUAUACGACUGUUAAUGGAAGAAUUGUAGUGAUGCUGUGGAAGUUAAUGAAUAUGUUAUGAUGUUGAAGUUUAUGCUUUGGAGUAUGUUGAAUUGCAAGCAAGAGAAAUGGAAUUGCAAGAAUGUGAAGUAGAGGUGUUGUUGGCUGGUGCUGAGAUGGAGUUGCAGGUGAAGUUGGUUUGGUAUGUACAGGGUCUUGGAGAUGUUAAGGAGUUGAAUUGCAGAGUUGAGUAGUUACAGUUGGGGAAAUGUUUUGGUUGUUACAGAGGUUUGUAUUAGAAUGUAGUGAAACUGAAUGAAGAGAAGUUAGAUGGUUGAUUAGAGUGUAGAAGAGUCUAUGGAGUUGAAUCUCUCUUGUAGAAGCUGGGAACUGCUGAAUUGCAGUUAGUUAUUAACAACGACCGAUUCAAAGGAUGAACCAGUGGAUCGUGGAUCUCGAGGUAGGCGUGGCUUGUCAUCAAAAGAGUUUCAGAGACAGAUCAUAGUUGCGCAGCGGAAGCUUCGAGGAGUUGAAUUUAUUAGUUUGAUUAACUUCGGCUAUGUUAUUAUAUUGUAUGUUUUAUUUGUAAACCAAAUGACUAUUGUAUAUAUGUAUCAUCCGAGAGAAGUUAUUAUAUUUAUAUGUUUCUGAGCAGGGUU